rnacentral:rRNA from 1 species
UAAAGAAUUUCGGUCAUCGAUGGGGAUGCGUUCCAUUAGCUUGUUGGCGGGGUAACGGCCCACCAAGGCAUCGAUGGAUAGGGGUUCUGAGAGGAAGGUCCCCCACAUUGGAACUGAGACACGGUCCAAACUCCUACGGGAGGCAGCAGUGAGGAAUAUUGGUCAAUGGGCGCUAGCCUGAACCAGCCAAGUAGCGUGAAGGAUGACUGCCCUAUGGGUUGUAAACUUCUUUUAUAUGGGAAUAAAGUGCAGUAUGUAUACUGUUUUGCAUGUACCUUAUGAAUAAGGAUCGGCUAACUCCGUGCCAGCAGCCGCGGUAAUACGGAGGAUCCGAGCGUUAUCCGGAUUUAUUGGGUUUAAAGGGAGCGUAGGCGGGUUGUUAAGUCAGUUGUGAAAGUUUGCGGCUCAACCGUAAAAUUGCAGUUGAUACUGGCAUCCUUGAGUACAGUAGAGGUAGGCGGAAUUCGUGGUGUAGCGGUGAAAUGCUUAGAUAUCACGAAGAACUCCGAUUGCGAAGGCAGCCUGCUGGACUGUAACUGACGCUGAUGCUCGAAAGUGUGGGUAUCAAACAGGAUUAGAUACCCUGGUAGUCCACACAGUAAACGAUGAAUACUCGCUGUUUGCGAUAUAAGUAA